AUGGACGCUGGCGGCAGGCCUAGCACAUGCAAGUCGUAACAAGGUAGCCGUAACUUGCUCUCGGGCUGACGAGUGGCGGACGGGUGAGUAAUGUCUGGGAAACUGCCUGAUGGAGGGGGAUAACUACUGGAAACGGUAGCUAAUACCGCAUAACGUCGCAAGACCAAAGAGGGGGACCUUCGGGCCUCUUGCCAUCAGAUGUGCCCAGAUGGGAUUAGCUAGUAGGUGGGGUAACGGCUCACCUAGGCGACGAUCCCUAGCUGGUCUGAAAGGAUGACCAGCCACACUGGAACUGAGACACGGUCCAGACUCCUACGGGAGGCAGCAGUGGGGAAUAUUGCACAAUGGGCGCAAGCCUGAUGCAGCCAUGCCGCGUGUAUGAAGAAGGCCUUCGGGUUGUAAAGUACUUUCAGCGGGGAGGAAGGUGUUGUGGUUAAUAACCACAGCAAUUGACGUUACCCGCAGAAGAAGCACCGGCUAACUCCGUGCCAGCAGCCGCGGUAAUACGGAGGGUGCAAGCGUUAAUCGGAAUUACUGGGGCGUAAAGCGCACGCAGGCGGUCUGUCAAGUCGGAUGUGAAAUCCCCGGGCUCAACCUGGGAACUGCAUUCGAAACUGGCAGGCUGGAGUCUUGUAGAGGGGGGUAGAAUUCCUGUGUAGCGGUGAAAUGCGUAGAGAUCUGGAGGAAUACCGGUGGCGAAUGCGGCCCCUGGACAAGACUGACGCUCAGUGCGAAAGCGUGGGGAGCAACAG
rnacentral:rRNA from 1 species